GACGAACGCUGGCGGCGUGCUUAACACAUGCAAGUCGAACGGUGAUGCUCCAGCUUGCUGGAGUGGAUCAGUGGCGAACGGGUGAGUAACACGUGAGCAACCUGCCCCAGACUCUGGAAUAAGCGCUGGAAACGGCGUCUAAUACUGGAUACGAAACUGGCCCGCAUGGGCAUGGUUUGGAAAGUUUUUCGGUUUGGGAUGGGCUCGCGGCCUAUCAGCUUGUUGGUGAGGUAAUGGCUCACCAAGGCGACGACGGGUAGCCGGCCUGGGAGGGCGACCGGCCACACUGGGACUGAGACACGGCCCAGAGUCCUACGGGAGGCAGCAGUGGGGAAUAUUGCACAAUGGGCGAAAGCCUGAUGCAGCGACGCCGCGUGAGGGAUGACGGCCUUCGGGUUGUAAACCUCUUUCAGCAGGGAAGAAGCGAAAGUGACGGUACCUGCAGAAGAAGCACCGGCUAACUACGUG
rnacentral:rRNA from 1 species